rnacentral:rRNA from 1 species
AGAACGAACGCUGGCGGCAAGCCUCAAACAUGCAAGUCUAGGGGGUGUAGCAAUACAUCACCGGCGGACGGGUGCGUAACACGUGGGAAUAUACCUUUUGGUUCGGAACAACGCAGGGAAACUUGCGCUAAUACCGAAUGUGCCCUUACGGGGAAAGAUUUAUCGCCAAAGGAUUAGCCCGCGUAGGAUUAGCUAGUUGGUGAGGUAAUGGCUCACCAAGGCUCCGAUCCUUAGCUGUUCUGAGAGGAAGAUCAGCCACACUGGGACUGAGACACGGCCCAGACUCCUACGGGAGGCAGCAGUUGGGAAUCUUGGACAAUGGGGAACCCUGAUCCAGCCAUGCCGCGUGAGUGAUGAAGGCCUUGGGUUGUAAAACUCUUUCGACGGGACGAUAAUGACGGUACCCGUAGAGAAGCUCCGGCUAACUUCGCGCCAGCAGCCGC